AAAGGGUGCGUAGGCGGCCUGUUAAGUCAGGGGUGAAAGACGGUAGCUCAACUAUCGCAGUGCCCUUGAUACUGAUGGGCUUGAAUUGACUAGAGGUAGGCGGAAUGUGACAAGUAGCGGUGAAAUGCAUAGAUAUGUCACAGAACACCGAUUGCGAAGGCAGCUUACUAUGGUCUUAUUGACGCUGAGGCACGAAAGCGUAGGGAUCAAACAGGAUUAGAUACCCUAGU
rnacentral:rRNA from 1 species